UUGUUUUUUUAUUUCAUUAAACUUUAGAAAUUAACGUUAAUAUAUAUAUAUUUAAAUUAAUUUCCAAAAUUUAUACGGAUAUUAAUUGACGAGGAUUUACGAAUGAAACUUUGAGAUCUAGUAUAGACAAUGCUCAUAAAAGUAUGUUCGAUCAUUGGUGAAAAGAAAAUUGUGCAUCAUCGAGGGUUUCUGUUUUAUACUCUUGCCGGAUUUCUUCUUUAGGAUUACAUCCUAACAUUUAACAUCGGACGCAUUAUUAUGCUACAGGAUUCAUCGUAACAUCGGACCCAUUAUUAUGCUACA
rnacentral:lncRNA from 1 species